rnacentral:misc_RNA from 1 species
AAGUCGUAACAAGGUUUCCGUAGGUGAACCUGCGGAAGGAUCAUUAUUGAAUAAACCUGAUGUGGUUGUUGCUGGCUCUCUAGGGAGCAUGUGCACGCCCGUCAUCUUUAUAUUUCCACCUGUGCACCUUUUGUAGACCCAGAAGGCUUGAGCAAUCGAGUCGUUUGGGCCUAUGUCUUAUCAUAUACCCUAUAGUAUGUAUUAGAAUGUAUCAGUGGGCUUCGUGCCUAUAAACACUAUACAACUUUCAGCAACGGAUCUCUUGGCUCUC